GAUGAACGCUGGCGGCGUGCCUAAUACAUGCAAGUCGAGCGAAGCGGGGACGGGUGAGUAACACGUGGAUACCCUCCUAUGAGGCUGGGGUAACGUCGGGAACCCGAAGAUAAACCGGAAACUGAUACAUGGAUACGCGGUGGAUUAGUUAGUGGGUAAGGUAACGGCUUACCAAGGCAACGCUGCGUAGCUGACCGGAGAGGGUGAUCAGCCACACUGGAACUGAGACACGGUCCAGACUCCUACGGGAGGCAGCAGUGGGGAAUAUUCCGCAAUGGGCGAAAGCCUGACGGAGCCACGCCGCGUGAGUGAUGAAGGUCUUCGGAUCGUAAAGCUCUGUUAUUAGGGAAGCGGUACCUACUCAAAAAGCCCCGGCUAACUACGUGCCAGCAGCCGCGGUAAUAC
rnacentral:rRNA from 1 species